rnacentral:rRNA from 1 species
CGUGUAGGCGGACUCGCAAGUCGGUUGUGAAAUCCCUGGGCUCAACCUAGGAACUGCAUCCGAAACUGCUUGUCUUGAGUAAUGGAGAGGGUGGCGGAAUUCCCGGUGUAGAGGUGAAAUUCGUAGAUAUCGGGAGGAACAUCAGUGGCGAAGGCGACCACCUGGACAUUUACUGACGCUGAGACGCGAAAGCGUGGGGAGCAAACA